rnacentral:lncRNA from 1 species
AUAGUACCACUCUAGACUUUGAUGAGUGACACCUUACACUUCUGGUCAGAGUGAAUUCUAACAACAAGCUAACAAAGAUAAACAGUCUAUUUAAGAGCGGCUGGAAAAUUCCCCUCUUGCCAGCAGCUGGCAUGACUGUUGUCAUUCAGAGGGCAAAAGUAAAUGUCAGACAAUUGAAUCAUUUAGAGACUGAGAUGACAAUGACCUAUAUUCUCAUUAAUGCUGUUUAAAAGUUCUUCUCCGGGCUAUCAAGCAGAUGAUGUUUAGUAGUGGUAUUAAGUUAAAGAAGAAAUACAAGAAGUCCAAGUUUAAAUAAAGAGCUCAGUUUUUAAAUUGGAAUUCUUCUGAGAAAUUGGCUGUUGGUAUUUGCCUACCAGGUGUUUCUUUGAAAUUGCACUGAUAGGAUCCAGGUUUUAUAGAUAAGAGCAAUGCAAACUCCAGAGUCAGUGUGGUGCUCUAAGCAAGUACAAAGGAUCCACAGCCUGCACAGACAGGGUCUUCUACUCUUACUGCCUCCCUAUAGCUGGGGAAGUAUGUCCUUCAAGUUCUUAAGGAACACGAAGCCAGCAAGUUGAUUCCUUCCAGAAUUAAGGUCUGCCUUGAAUCACUGACUCAUUUUGUGCUAUCAAGAUGUAAACUCUCCAGCAACAGCAUCCUCCUAUGUGAGUAAGCGAGAUUUAAUUUUCCUGUGACAGCACAUGUGUACAAAGGCAGGUGCAGCUGAGGAGAAUCAUCCGCCCUCCAGCCGACACAGAUUUCCCGUCCUGGGGGCUGCACCACAGAGGAUGUGUGUGAACAUGCCAAUUUCUCUUCACUUUGGGUUGCAUCUGGACCUUGAAGCAAAAGAAAAUAUGUGUUAUGGGGCCAGUGCUGUGGCGUAGCAGGUAAAGCCACUGCCUGAAGUGCUGGCAUCUCAUAUGGUCACUGGCUGCUCCACUUCUGAUCCAGCUCUCUGCUAUGGCCUGGGAAAGCAGCAGAAGAUGGCCCAAGGCCUUGGGCCCCUGCACCCACAUGGGAGACCCAGAAAAAUCUCCUGGCUCCUAGCACAGCUCUGGCAGUUGCGGCCAAUUGGAGAGUGAACCAGCAGAUGGAAGACCUCUCUCUCUCUCUCUCUCUCUCUCUCUCUCUUUCUCUCUGCCUCUCCCUCUCUCUCUGUGUGUAAAUCUUUCAAAUAAAUAAAUAAAUCUUAAAAAAAGAAAAUGUUUU